UAGGGAAUCUUCCACAAUGGACGCAAGUCUGAUGGAGCAACGCCGCGUGAGUGAAGAAGGUUUUCGGACCGUAAAGCUCUGUUGUUGGUGAAGAAGGAUAGAGGUAGUAACUGGCCCUUUUAUUUGACGGUAAUCAACCAGAAAGUCACGGCUAACUACGUGCCAGCAGCCGCGGUAAUACGUAGGUGGCAAGCGUUGUCCGGAUUUAUUGGGCGUAAAGCGAGCGCAGGCGGAAGAAUAAGUCUGAUGUGAAAGCCCUCGGCUUAACCGAGGAAUUGCAUCGGAAACUGUUUUCUUGAGUGCAGAAGAGGAGAGUAGAACUCCAUGUGUAGCGGUGGAAUGCGUAGAUAUAUGGAAGAAUACCAGUGGCGAAGGCGGCUCUCUGGUCUGCAACUGACGCUGAGGCUCGAAAGCAUGGGUAGCGAACAGGAUUAGAUACCCUGGUAGUCCAUGCCGUAAACGAUGAGUGCUAAGUGUUGGGAGGCUUCCGCCUGCUCAGUGCUGCAGCUAACGCAUUA
rnacentral:rRNA from 1 species